AGAGUUUGAUCAUGGCUCAGAUUGAACGCUGGCGGCAGGCUUAACACAUGCAAGUCGAGCGGGGACUUCGGUCCUAGCGGCGAACGGGUGAGGAAUGCUUGGGAAUCUGCCCAGUAGUGGGGGAUAACGUUUCGAAAGGAACGCUAAUACCGCAUACGUCCUACGGGAGAAAGGGGGGGAUCUUCGGACCUCUCGCUAUUGGAUGAGCCCAAGUCGGAUUAGCUAGUUGGUGGGGUAAAGGCCUACCAAGGCGACGAUCCGUAGCUGGUCUGAGAGGAUGAUCAGCCACACUGGAACUGAGACACGGUCCAGACUCCUACGGGAGGCAGCAGUGGGGAAUAUUGGACAAUGGGCGAAAGCCUGAUCCAGCCAUGCCGCGUGUGUGAAGAAGGCCUUCGGGUUGUAAAGCACUUUAAGUGGGGAGGAAUGGCCCUUGGUUAAUAACCUUGAGCAGUGACGUUACCCACAGAAUAAGCACCGGCUAACUCUGUGCCAGCCGCCGCGGUAAUAC
rnacentral:rRNA from 1 species